AGUGAACGCUGGCGGUAGGCCUAACACAUGCAAGUCGAACGGCAGCACAGUAAGAGCUUGCUCUUACGGGUGGCGAGUGGCGGACGGGUGAGGAAUACAUCGGAAUCUACUUUUUCGUGGGGGAUAACGUAGGGAAACUUACGCUAAUACCGCAUACGACCUACGGGUGAAAGCAGUGGAUCUUCGGACCUUUCGCGAUUGAAUGAGCCGAUGUCGGAUUAGCUAGUUGGCUGGGUAAAGGCCCACCAAGGCGACGAUCCGUAGCUGGUCUGAGAGGAUGAUCAGCCACACUGGAACUGAGACACGGUCCAGACUCCUACGGGAGGCAGCAGUGGGGAAUAUUGGACAAUGGGCGCAAGCCUGACCCAGCAAUACCGCGUGGGUGAAGAAGGCCUUCGGGUUGUAAAGCCCUUUUGUUGGGAAAGAACAGCAGUAGGUUAAUACCCCGCUGUUCUGACGGUACCCAAAGAAUAAGCACCGGCUAACUUCGUG
rnacentral:rRNA from 1 species